AUUGAACGCUGGCGGCCGGCUUAACACAUGCAAGUCGAACGAGUGGCGGACGGGUGAGUAAUGCUUGGGAAUCUAGCUUCUGGAGGGGGAUAACUACGGGAAACUGUAGCUAAUACCGCGUAACAUAGGAUUAGGCCAAGGGGGAUUAGGUAGUUGGUGAGGUAAAGGCUCCACAAGCCGACCAUCUCUGGCUGGUCUGAGAGGCUGACAAGCCAACCUGGGACUGAGACACGUACCAGAUUCCGACGGGAGGCAGCAGUGGGGAAUAGUGCGUAAUGGGGGCAACCUGACGCAGCCAUGCCGCGUGAAUGAAGAAGGCCUUCGGUUUGUAAAGUUCUUUCGGUAGCGAGGCGUUAACUACAGAAGAAGCACCGGCUAACUCCGUGCCAGCAGCCGCGGUAAUAC
rnacentral:rRNA from 1 species